CGGGCUGGCCACCAAAGCAAAUCUCUUCCUCGCAGGAGUUCGGGGUGCUUUCCUUGUCGGGGGUGCUAAUUUGCUUCUGCAGCUGCCCUCCUAUUUAUUUUUCCACACGUGGCUUCCGUUCUGCGUGGCUGCCGCUUGCCCCACCCCACCCAUCCCUUGGAGCCACCAGAGCCUGGGCCUCGCUUGGGGGGAUUGGAACUCUCUGCCUGGGACGGGCCUGGGUGCGCUUCUGGCCUGGCCAGCAGGUGGAGCACAAGCCCCAGGUUUCAGUUCCUGUGGGCUUUGUAGAAGUCCUUUAGAAUAAACUGGAAACGAGUGCGCGCCUCCCCAGGCCCGGACUGAGUGUAGGACACCAGGGAGGCAAAGACGAACAAAUCCCACAAGGGCAGAUGUGGGGACAGGUCACUGAAAUGGGCCGGGAGCCUGAGAAUCAGCCCACCCGGGGUGGGGCGGGGUGGGGGGUGCCUCUGGGGCCUGGAGGGCUCUCUGCGGGGAGCCAGCUGAGCCCGCCCACUUUGGGCCUGGCCUCUUGUCUAUCCUAAGGCUGCCUGGGCUCUGCUCUUGUGGGGUUUAUCCAGUUUAUCAAGAAAAUGACCGUCUUAAGUGGAGUGGACCCAGAUCUUCAUCGCUGGGAAGUGUCCCUUAUCUAACCGUCCCUGGCAGGGGACGCCCUCUGUCUUAACAUCACACCUUGUGAGCCACCGCCUCUCAGAAGGCGGGUCCCUCGCACAGAAGGAGAGUCCAGGCCGAGUUACCUCUCCCCAGACCUGAAGCAGGAGGGUUCGCAUUUCUGACAAGUUCCCCGGCAACGUUGAUGCUGCUGGUCCCGGGGACCACACCCGGAGAACCCCCCGCCUACAUGAGUUGCAGCUUGAAAGCUUGUGCCGGGUCUUGAUCCCACUCAUGAGCUACCUGUCUGCUGUACCUGGGCCAGUGCUUUAGGAAUGUCACGUUUGCGGACUCUCGCUCCACGCAGAUGAUCUUUGGAAAUCCAAACCUGGCUCAUUUUCGGGGGCGAUUGCUUCUGUGCUGGUGUGCGGGGAUGGGCUGCAGGCUGUCCGCGUCUCGUCCCCACGGGCAAGCCCCGUCGUCUCCCUUAAGUACUUUUCCUCCACAGUGCUGGAGCCGGGCGAACAGGUACAUUCAUUGCGCUCAGCAACAUUCUGGAACGAGUGAAAGCCGAGGGCCUUUUAGACGUAUUCCAAGCUGUGAAGAGUUUACGACUUCAGAGACCGCAUAUGGUGCAAACCCUGGAACAGUAUGAAUUCUGCUACAAAGUGGUACAAGAUUUUAUUGAUAUAUUUUCUGAUUAUGCUAAUUUCAAAUGAAAUUCCUGCCUUAAAAUAUUUUUUUUAAUUUAAUGGUCAGUAUAUUUUAUAAAAAUCAUGUUAAUUUAUUUCAUAGUUGACAUUAAUACCCGUCCUAAUUUCUUUGUAUAUAUUUUGUUACGCUUUCAAGGCCACUGCUAUAAAGUUAUUAAAUCUUAAAUACCCCUUUUAAAAACGGGAAUAAUGUAUUAAGGUCAAGUAAUAUCCCGUAAAAUGCAUUUCUGCUAAUAUCGGUAAAUAUUCUAAUUUUGCAUUAGAUUCAUCAUAUCCUAUAAUUUCACACAUUCAGCACGUCUAAAUGUUAAAAAUCUUAAUAUGCAAUGUGUGCUUGACGCAGGAGAGUAAACACAGAGCCCGCUGUUAAGAAAGCGGUCGAGGACUCAAAAAUCAGUUGAAAAUUCCCUGUCCAGACGCUGAUUUUUACAGCCCUGCGCAGUGGCAUUUUGCGGGAGGUAAAAUGUUCAUGGAGAUACACUGUAAGUAGGGGAUCCUGUGAAGUCCUCCGUCUCAACUCAUGUGGUUUACUUUUUACAUUUUAAAGAUCAAGGGCGUCACAGCCCGCGUGCAGGUAUAAAAUGCAUGAGCGCAGUUGGUGACCAUAUAGUGAUACACGUGCGUUUACUCACGGCUGGGUCCGUGCUGUCUGGGCCGGAAGUGGAGAGAUGUCGGUGCUGGUGGCACGGUCACCCGUGGCCUUGGGUACGGCAAAAUCAGCUAUCAGGCUGCGUUCCCACGUGGCCACUUGCUGUCCGUCUGUCUGAGUGUUUGGCUCAGAGGAGUCUCUGAGAAUCAAACCAACUGCGUUUCUCACUCUUGCCUCUGGUCUCGAGCUACCCAGAGGCUCAACACAAACCACUUCCUAAUCCUAAUGUGCGGAGGGAGCCAAACGUCUGACUCACGCAGAUGCCAAGAGCACACGCUUGGGGAGACCACCACAAGCACUGAUGCUUUCAACUUUCUGAGAAUAUUUUGGCUUGUUGUUUUUUUUUUUUUUAAAUCUUGUACAAGCUAAGAUUGUUUGUAAGAAAAGAAAUCUUAAAAUCUAGAUUUAUACCGUUUUUUUUAAAGUCCCCCUCCUCAAUAUUUAAAUAAAAGACACAGAGAGAGAAAUCCUUAAUCUAAAGGCUAACUUAUUUUUGAAUGGAAAUACUACUGAGACCUUUGACACUGGAUAAUAAUAAUCUCACUGCCAGACUGGACUGGCUUAUGGGGCGACAAAAGGGAGGAGGUUGAAUGUAGAAAAGUUUAAUUUAAUGACGGUGAUCUUUCUGUGGCCAUUAGGUAGCAGAUGAGCAUAUGAGCACAAUAUAUAUAUAUAUAUAUAUAUAUAUAAAUAUAAAAAAAUAAAGACACCUGCUCUAACAUACUAAAGGCACUUAAGAUGUGCAUUUGGGGUACAGUGGUUUUUUUUGCUUUUAAAAAGAAAUAUAAAGGCCUUAUUUGACAUUUCCACCGAGAAGUGACUGCACCUUCCUAUUGCACUGUUCAUCCCGUGUCUGUUUCUGGUGUGCAUAAUGUGACCCCAGGGUUUCUUGCAUACUAACGAUAGCCUCACGGUGAUCAAGUCUCCGUGGCUCCUCUGAGCUCCACUCCAUGGCAGAAGGGGUGCCAGCCGGAAGGGCGAGAGCACAACUUUGUGACCGAUGCCGCCGCCGCCAGCCGCAUCCCUCCCUGGGCACACACAGUGCUGAAUACAUCCCUCCGUCCUUCCCGGGACCAUGAGGAUACGUUCGGGUCGAAGAGGAAAAUGGAGGCAGCUCUGCAAGACGCACCAGCUGGUCCCAUAUGUUUUCAUUGUCAGAAUCCCCCCCCCCCCCCCGCCAAAGCCUUUCUGUGACUGAAGGAGAAGAGAGAGAACCAAGCUUUUCAUUUGGCACCGAACCCUAGAAACCGAGCUGGCUACAUGGUGAUGAAAGUGAUUUGUAAUGUACCCGAGGGUUCAGGGUCAAAGUCAAGGGAAUGGACUUGGGUCUAAUUCAGGAGCCCUCAUGAGAAGCUGUCGGGCCCUCAGUGGUCUACCUGGCAUCUCUUGUGUGGCGAUUCAGGUCGAACUUACCAGGGGUGCCCUCGGGAAAGUGCCCCGUUUGUGCGUUGUUCUGUCUCCCUGUGUCCGCUACAGGCAUCCUGGCACCCGCUUUGGUCCUUCCGCCUCUGGAAACAAGGCAGAAGCCGCGACCCCUUGGGCACAGGACCCCUGUCCCCAGUCGAGGGCAGUACUUGCCUUUCUAGGGGCCUGGGAAUUGCAGCCUCCUGGCCUCUGCCCAGGCCCCCCCCCCCCCCCCCCCCCGUCCAAACAAUCCCUUUGGGGACGCGCUACCCUCUCUGUGCAACCGGGAAAGCUGACCUCUCCUUCCCCCUCUGUCAAAGAAGGUCCAUGGACACGACAGCGCCCCGCUGACGGGGCUGACGAGGCCAUUCUUACCUUCACGUUUUUGUGUGUCGCAUGAGGCUGCAUCCAAAUGCCAAAUAGCGAUUAGGAGCCUACCGUUCUGAUCGACAAGCUGUACGGUCACUGUGUGACUCACUCUACUGUUUCUCUCCAUGUGCUAGACGAAUGAAGAAUGCAUACCAGUGUUUUGAAAGGUAUUUUUAUGUGUUUUUAAAAACUUUUUUAAAUGAGCCUGACACGUCUGUUUCAGCAUUCAAAGACAUGCCCAUGUGAUUUUUAAGAUGUAUGGUUCCUGAUACUUUUGUUUAACUAAAUCGUGUUUAAUUUAUGUGCAAUCUUUAUAAUAUACAUCUGUAGUCCCCGUUUCAACUAUCAUAGUUUCUUUUAUUACAUCUGUAAUUUGAUCUUGCUCUGAUUAUAAUGCCAGUGAAUGUUGCUGAAUUCUUUGUAUAUGCAAAUUGCAAGAUCUAAAACAGUCUGAUGCAAGGAUAAAUCUUUACUUUGACUUCCA